rnacentral:lncRNA from 1 species
AAGAAAAUUCGAGGGAAAGAAGUUUACAUGACUAUGGCUUACGGCAAGGGAGACCCCCUCCUCCCACCCAGGCUGCAGCACAGUAUGCAUUAUGGGCACGAUCCUCCAAUGCACUACUCACAGACAGCUGGCAAUGUUAUGUCUAAUGAACAUUUUCAUCCUCAGCAUCCAUCUCCGAGACAAGGUCGGGGAUAUGGGAUGCCCAGGAAUUCAUCUCGGUUUAUAAACAGGCACAACAUGCCGGGCCCUAAAGUUGAUUUUUACCCAGGCCCAGGUAAAAGGUGCUGCCAGAGCUAUGAUAACUUCUCUUAUAGAUCUCGUUCAUUUAGACGUAGUCACCGCCAGAUGAGUUGUGUGAAUAAGGAGUCCCAGUAUGGAUUUACCCCAGGGAAUGGACAGAUGCCCAGGGGCUUGGAAGAAACUAUUACUUUUUAUGAAGUUGAAGAAGGGGAUGAGACUGCUUAUCCAACUUUACCUAAUCAUGGAGGUCCCUCUACAAUGGUUCCUGCUACUUCAGGAUACUGUGUUGGAAGGCGGGGACAUAGCUCAGGCAAACAGACUUUGAAUUUAGAGGAGGGCAAUGGCCAGAGUGAAAAUGGGCGAUAUCAUGAAGAAUAUCUUUAUCGUGCAGAGCCAGACUAUGAAACUUCAGGUGUUUAUAGCACAACUGCAUCUACAGCAAACUUGUCUCUUCAGGACAGAAAGUCAUGUUCUAUGUCUCCUCAGGACACAGUUACCUCAUACAACUACCCCCAGAAGAUGAUGGGAAAUAUUGCAGCAGUUGCAGCUUCCUGUGCCAAUAAUGUUCCAGCUCCAGUCUUAUCUAACGGUGCAGCGGCUAAUCAAGCUAUUAGUACCACUUCAGUUUCCUCACAGAAUGCUAUACAGCCUCUCUUUGUAUCUCCACCUACACACGGCAGGCCAGUGAUUGCCUCACCAUCCUAUCCAUGCCAUUCUGCUAUUCCUCAUGCUGGUGCCUCUCUACCACCACCACCACCACCACCACCACCACCACCACCACCACCACCUCCUCCUCCUCCUCCUCCUCCUCCUCCUCCUCCUCCUGCUCUUGAUGUGGGAGAGACUUCAAACUUACAACCACCACCACCACUACCACCUCCACCUUAUUCCUGUGAUCCAAGCGGCAGUGAUUUGCCUCAAGAUACAAAAGUUUUGCAGUACUAUUUCAAUCUAGGAUUGCAGUGCUAUUACCACAGCUACUGGCACUCCAUGGUCUAUGUGCCACAGAUGCAGCAGCAGCUUCAUGUAGAGAAUUAUCCAGUCUAUACUGAGCCACCUCUGGUAGAUCAAACCGUUCCUCAAUGCUACAGUGAGGUGAGGAGAGAAGAUGGCAUACAGGCGGAAGCAUCAGCAAAUGAUACUUUUCCGAAUGCUGAUUCUUCAUCUGUCCCUCAUGGAGCAGUCUAUUAUCCAGUAAUGUCAGAUCCCUAUGGGCAGCCACCUUUGCCAGGUUUUGACUCCUGCCUUCCGGUUGUGCCAGAUUAUUCCUGUGUUCCCCCCUGGCAUCCAGUUGGUACAGCAUAUGGUGGUUCUUCUCAAAUUCAUGGUGCUAUAAAUCCUGGGCCAAUUGGCUGUAUUGCUCCAUCUCCCCCAGCUUCUCAUUAUGUACCUCAGGGUAUGUAAGAUCCAGCAGUAUGAAGUAUUCUUGCACUGCCAUUUUCUUGCUGUUUUUGUUUUUAAAAAGUAUUUUAUGUUAGUGGUUAAAUGAUUUAGGUGAUUAGUGUUUACUAUUGUAUUUGUCUUUAAAAUUAUUUUAUCUUUUGAUUUAAAAUAGUACUUUAAAAUUAAGGGGUAUUAUUUUGGGCUGUGACUAAGGAAAUUGAGAUGGAUGUACAACUAGCCCCAUAUUGAGCAUACUUCAUUGUAUUCAGCUGUUUUCCUGUCAGCCAUU